rnacentral:misc_RNA from 1 species
UUUCCGUAGGUGAACCUGCGGAAGGAUCAUUCAUAAUAAGUGUUUUAUGGCACUUUUUUAAAUCCAUAUCCACCUUGUGUGCAAUGUCAGGGUUGAUUUUUCUCUCGAGAGGUUCAGCCCCAAACAUCAACUAUAUCUCAACUCUUUGUCUGAAAAAUAUUAGGAAUAAAACAAUUCAAAAUACAACUUUCAACAACGGAUCUCUUGGCUCUC